rnacentral:rRNA from 1 species
CUACGAUCAGUAGGGGUUCUGAGAGGAAGGUCCCCCCCACAUUGGAACUGAGACACGGUCCAAACUCCUACGGGAGGCAGCAGUGAGGAAUAUUGGUCAAUGGGGGCGAGAGCCUGAACCAGCCAAGUAGCGUGCAGGAUGACGGCCCUAUGGGUUGUAAACUGCUUUUAUGUGGGGAUAAAGUGCGUGACGUGUCAUGCAUUGCAGGUACCACAUGAAUAAGGACCGGCUAAUUCCGUGCCAGCAGCCGCGGUAAU